rnacentral:misc_RNA from 1 species
CACGACUCGAGUCGUCCCACAGCCGUAACAGUUUCCAAGGCCACAGGAACAGCUAUCAGGGCGGUCCUCCCAAUACACAACCGGCAGUCAUGAGCCGGUUACGCAAUGCGAUCCGCAGAGCGACAAUAACACGAGAUGAGGCGCCAGAACAUCUUCGUCAAGACCAAGAAGAUGUACCGGAAGUGCCUGCAGUACCCAAAAG